CAACCCUCGAGCCCCCCCGGGGGCCCGGCGUUGGGGGACGGCUCCCGCCCCGUGUACGCGGGAUUGGAGGCCGCCCCCGAAAUGCAGUGGCGACCCCGCCGCAGCCUCCCCUGCGUAGUAGCUACACCAAGAAACCUCGCACCGGAGAGCGGCGCGGCUCGGCCGUGAAACCCCAACUUCUGAAA
rnacentral:misc_RNA from 1 species